AGAGUUGAUCAUGGCUCAGGAUGAACGCUAGCUACAGGCUUGACACAUGCAAGUCGAGGGGCAGCAUGUCGAAGCUUGCUUGACAGAUGGCGACCGGCGCACGGGUGAGUAACGCGUAUCCAACCUUCCCCAUAGUAGGGCAUAGCCCGUAGAAAUGCGGAUUAAUACCCUAUGUAUUCCGAGGAUGACAUCUGAUUCGGAACAAAGGUUCACCGCUAUGGGAUGGGGAUGCGUCUGAUUAGGUAGUAGGCGGGGUAACGGCCCACCUAGCCGACGAUCAGUAGGGGUUCUGAGAGGAAGGUCCCCCACAUUGGAACUGAGACACGGUCCAAACUCCUACGGGAGGCAGCAGUGAGGAGUAUUGGUCAAUGGGCGAGAGCCUGAACCAGCCAAGUAAGCGUGCAGGACGACGGCCCUAUGGGUUGUAAACUGCUUUUAUACAGGGAUAAAGUCGGGGACGCGUUCCCCGUUUGCAGGUACUGUAUGAAUAAGGACCGGCUAAUUCCGUGCCAGCCGCAGC
rnacentral:rRNA from 1 species